UGUUCUGUGGUUUAAUUGGUUAAAGCACCGGUCUAGGAAUACGGAGUUGUGGGUUGGAAUCCCACCAGGACGC
rnacentral:tRNA from 1 species